rnacentral:lncRNA from 1 species
CUUUGAUGUUUGCUUUUUCCUCCUUCUUUCUUGGAUUCAUAUAAAAGUGUCAAGUUGUUUGUGACUGAGGGAAGCUCAUACUGUGUCCCAGUCGCUUGAACUUGAGGAGCCAGACCUCACCAUUUCAAAAGAAACAGCGGCCUUGUGCUCCAUCUAGGGAGGUCCGUACAUAGACACAACGGUCUCACUUGCUUUACGCACAUAUAAGGAUUUGCAGUUUUUGAAAACAAAUUUAACUAACACCCUUUUCUUGGGGAGGGAUGGCGUCUAUUUUUUCCCCUUCAAAAGUCUUUUCACCCCCCCCCACCGUCCAUUUAUAAGACUUCUUGCAUAGAAGCAGGUGUGGGGGGGUGGGGGAUGUUCCCAGCAGCCCUGUCGUCCUCAGUGGUGAAAGAGGUGGUAAAAUAAGCCCUUUUCUGUCUCCGUAUUCCAGCUUCGAGGAGGAAAGUGCCAAAUUAUCCUGCAGAAUGUUCGAAGACCUGAUUUGACCCCGAAGUCUACACUGAGAAGAAACAGAUGUGAAAAUAAAAGAUGUCCUUUUUCAAAGAAAUCCUGUCUUUUAUCAAGAGGCUUCGACAGAAACCUGUCCCCUGGCUCCCAAGGAUGCGAGCAAGAUAGUGGGAAGGCAGAGGGAGAGGAAGAGAGAAUUUCAAGAAGACUCCCCACUGAGCACAGAGCCCAACUUGGGGCCCUAUCUACAACCCUGAGAUCAUGACCUGAGCCAAAAUCAAAAGUCAGAUACUUAACCGACUGAGCCACCCAGACGCUCUCCUCUUAAUUCUUACAAUGACCCUAUGAUGUAUAAGAGUUUUCAGUCCAAUUAAAAAAAUAUUACCCCCAAAUCCCAUGGCUGGUAAGUCGCAGAGCUUGGAUUCAAAUCCAAGUUCAGUGCUUUCCCCCUUAUUUUAAUGGCUAUUUUGAAUAUUAUUCAAUAAAGGUUAUCUUCACUCUUUAUGCUUAAAAUAUGUGCUGCAUUCUUAAGUGUGUUUCUGAUUAUAUUUCAGGGCCAAAUUAUUUCCAUAGAAAUGUACCUCUAAUUUUAUAAUGAUAUCAGUGGGGAAAUAAAAGAGGCAGUAUGGAAUUUUGCUCUACUGCCAACUCCAUGGGAGGGAUAAAAAAAUUAUAAGCCUAGAACUUGAAGAUGGGAAAAAGUUAGCAAUGUCAUAGCACUAUUGUUAUCAAAGUAAGAUAUGGAAAAGUAGAAAAGCACCUUUAUUUCUAAGGAGAUUUCCAAGGACCCUGAACUUUAUCACCAUACAGUUCAUUGUAAAGUGGAGGCAAUAUAAGACAGGCAACACCCUGUAUCUACAAAAGACUCUCAUUCAUGACUCAAGUCCCAGGGAUAUUGUUAUAAGUGACCUAACUUACAAAGAAAGCACAAUGAGAUUUUAUGAUGAGGAUCUUAUGUCUUUUUUACACAUUCGGUUAUAAAAUAAAGAAACAAUUCAGGUCAUUGUACCCAGUAUUAGACUAAAGGGGUCAGCAACACAUAGUAGGCUGUGUAGCCACGUACAACAACCUUGCACCACUGUUCAGGGCAGGAAGCAAGGAUAAAUUAUGCUGAUAGGUUAUGAAGUGGUAACAUUAUUUGUGCCUUUUCUUUUGGCCAUGGCGCUCAAGUUCCCUAUUACCCGCUCCUUUGAAACAAUUCUACUGAAAAAUGCAAAAUAGCUCAGUCCAUUCAUUUUCCUUAAGUUCCCUUAAAAUAAAACACCAAAGCUGUAAUUUGCUAAUCAUAUUUCAUCAUUCCU